rnacentral:rRNA from 1 species
AUGGACGGCGGCGGCAAGGAGUUGGGACGGCCGGCGCCGAGCGGUGGUGGGGUUGCGGUUUGGACGUUGGUGGUCUCCAACCUCGCCUACCUCGUGUUUCUCCUCUGCCAGUACCACAUAAACCGGCGACGCUGUGACAAAAGCUCUGUCACAAGAGGUAGACCAGAUGCAAAGGGGGAUGCUCUCUCGCCGGACGCUGUCAUCAACCUCGAGUUCGGCGACCCUACCAUGUACGAGGCGUUCUGGAGGGAGGCUGGGGAGCGGGCGGCGGCGGUGAUCCCCGGGUGGUGGGGGAUGAGCUACUUCUCCAACGCAGGGGGCCUCUGCUGGUACCUGGAGCCUGAGUUGGAGCGCGAGGUGCGCCGCGUCCACCGCCUCGUCGGCAACGCAAUGGCCGACGGCUACCACCUCGUGGUCGGCACUGGCACCACCCAGCUCUUCCAGGCUGCCAUGUACGCCCUAGCCCCCACCAGCACCGACCGGCCCGUCGGCGUCGUCUCUCCGGCGCCCUACUACUCGACGGACCUCCUGCUCUCGGGCUACUACCGGUGGGCGGGGGACGCCAACGCCUUCCACGGCGACCACGGCGGCGAGAACAUCGAGCUGGUCGUCUCGCCCAACAACCCCGACGGCGCCAUCCGCGAGGCCGUCCUAAGCUCCGACUCCGGCAAGGGCAAGGCGAUCCACGACCUGGUGUAUUACUGGCCUCAGUACACGCCCAUCACCAGCCCCGCCGCGCACGACAUCAUGCUCUUCACCAUGUCCAAGCUCAGCGGCCACGGCGGCACCAGGCUCGGGUGGGCGCUGGUCAAGGACAGCGAUGUGGCCAAGAAGAUGGUCUACUUCGUGUAUGGGAGCACCAUCGGCGUGUCCAAGGACUCGCAGCUCCGUGCCGCAAAGAUCCUCGGCGUCGUCUCCGACGCCUACGAACCUGGCCCCGGGGACGGCACGCAGCUCCGCCUCUUCGACUUUGCGCGACGCCGGACGGGGGAGCGCUGGCGGGCCCUGCACGCCGCCGUGGCGGCAACGGGCACCUUCAGCCUCCCAGAUGAGAUCACGGGCUACUGCAACUUCACCAAGCAAACCGUGGCAGCGUACCCCGGUACGCUAGUAGCACUACAUGCCAAUAUAAUUCCGUCAUUGCUCCAACUUGAUCUGAAUUCUCAUGCAUUCUCAGCCUUCGCGUGGCUGCGCUGUUACAAGGAUGGCGUGGAGGACUGCGCCGAGUUCCUGCGCGGGCACGGCAUCGUGGCGCGGGGCGGGGAGCAGUUCGGAGGAGACGCCAGGUGCGUCAGGGUCAACAUGAUGGACAGGGACGCUGUGUUCAACGUGCUCAUACAGCGUCUCUCCUCCAUAACAUGA